rnacentral:tRNA from 1 species
GGGCGGGUACCCAAGCGGCCAACGGGGGCAGGCUGUAAACCUGCUGGGCUUGCGCCCUACGUAGGUUCAAAUCCUACCCCGCCCA